rnacentral:piRNA from 5 species
CGGAUAGCUCAGUCGGUAGAGCAU